rnacentral:lncRNA from 1 species
GAUGGAGGGAGUAUAUAUUACACUGAUCUAUGGUUUAAAUAAAAAGGAAAGACUACUUUGAGUAUUUAUUCCGUGGACACAAAGAUUUGAACUCCAUGCGGAUGGUGUCGCGCCCUCACUCCAGCACUGCACUUAUUACAUUCUCUCUCACUUUCUUGUCCGCGUCAUUCUCAUUUUUUUUUGAAUUCUCAUAUCAUGCACUUUUUAAGGGAAUCAUUCUCAACUUAUGUUUCAUAUCCCGGUGAUUCUCUUACAAUUUUCCCUUGAAGCUGCACAUCGCAUAUGGAUAUGGUCGCUGUCCAAGCGCCAUAUGCAUGUCCAAUAUGACAUUUAGG